GUUGUCUCUUCCUGCAGACUACCGGAGAGAUAAGCUGUGUCUUCGCUAUCGCAGACUACCAGUAAAAUACGCUGUGUUGUCUCUACCUGCAGACUACCAGUAAGAUGCGCUGUCGUCUCUACCUGCAGACUACCGAACUUGACUGCGGCUUGCACUGCUCAGUGCUGAUCAAACAAGGAAGUUGGUGACAUUCAAAAGAACUGCUGCUGCAGGGGUAAUUAGAGAGGACCACUUGGAGCAUGACCAUAAGUCAGGAUUAACACACUUAAACUGCUGAAAAACCUGGCUAACUCAAGAUUAUGAAUCAUGAAUGAAAUCAAUAAACUAAGUAGAAGAUGUUUAAAAAAAAAAAAA